UUACAACAUCUCAGAAUUUAUAUCUCUUUUUUAGUUAAAACAACAAAAUAUGUUUUCAGAUACCUGAAUUUUCCUGGGUUUCUAGAAAAACCGACCCUUUCUGCCCCCUCCCUUUCUAACCCCCUUUUGUGGUCCACCGGGUUGUUUUAAGCAAAACCAAACAACCCCUCCAAAAAAAGCAAACGAAAAAUUCCGGGUAAAGUCAACUAUGCCGAGAUCACGCUUUCGUUGAAGCUGCCCUAAGACCAAAGAAGCUGAGACCGACCUUGAAGGAUUAGCGAUUUCUGUAACUGAAAUGUUGUAAUUUUACUGAGGUUUGGUAGAGACGCAACAAGUCCAGUUGAGGGCAGUUUUGUUGGGUAUGGAAUGCAGUCAGUGUGUGAAAUUGGACAUAAGAAUAGAUACACAUAUUGCUGAUGAGAAGCCUUUUGUGGAGAUUUGUGAAGCAAGAUAGAACUUGUGUUCAAAUUCUGAAGCUACAGGUUAAAACAGGCAAGUUUUUUUUCAUGUUUCCUUGAGGAAAAUUCAAAAACACGGAAGUUAAGCUGAAGGCUAGACCUGGCAGUCACCACAUUGGCAAAGUAAUCCAGUCUAGCAUCCCCAAUAGUGGAACAACACAUGUGUCUCCAUGAGAUUUUGGUGCCUAAACUCAGGAUCAUUCUUAUC